GAAGAAGGCACGAUAUGCAUCGAGAAAUCUCAAUUUUAAUGCCAACAAAGGUACUGUACUUCCUCGGUAGAAAACUUUGGCAGAAAUGGGCGAAAAUAGAAGUUUGACAGCGGCACCCUCUGCGGGAAGCGGUAACUGCUUUCUAUUGUAAAACGGACGGAGGAGUAUCGCUACUUAUAACACUGGCCUAACACCAAACACGGAGAUACUGCGCCUACAGUGUAGAUGGUUUAUUGGGAUAUUUUUGUUCGGUGGGGGAUGACGGUAGGCGGCGAAUUUAAUUUUUCGAAAAUGAAAAGGGGAAAUGGAUUCGGUCAUUUCGUUUCUCGGUUAUCAGAUGGCGCCACCAUAGAUAGAGAAAUUAUUUCUAUUGUGUAUAUAAAAACCUUUUUUGUGGAAUACAUUCGUGGCGGAUUACGCCUUUUCGCUACUGGUGAGUCAUUGGUGUCGGUAAUGCUCAAAAUUUAUUGUUGGAGCGAAAUAAUGUACGUGGGUGUCCGUCUAGUAACUACUUGGAAUUAAUUGUCUUUUAUGACACAAUAUUUUCUUGUAACGUAUACGAUUUAAACUGGCAAUUAAUUCAAAUUUUUCCAAUAUUGUUUAAAUGGAAUUUCAUUUAAUAAAAUUAUAUUUGGAUUUCAUGGCCAUUUUCCUAUGUAAUUAAC
rnacentral:lncRNA from 1 species